UGUACAGAUAAGGACUUUGCUCUCUUACACAUGGCCCUCUGCCCAGGGCUACCUUUAGCAUUUUAGACAUACCCUAUUUAGUCUCAGAGGUUUGCAUUUCAUCUAUAUUCUCUAGGGGAAAAUAUAUAUUUUUUUCAAAAGAACAAUAUGUAAGAGAAAGAGACAAUAAAAAGUAUCCAUCACAAAAAUCAGGUUGAGGGCUAGAGAUGCUGCUGGACUGGUAGGUGCUGACCAGAAUGCACGAAGCCCUGGGUCCAAUCCCCAGCACAGGGUUAAUCAAGUGUGGCAGGCAGGCCUGAGUUCUGGAAGGUGAAGGAGGGAGGAACAGAGGGUCAAGGUCAUCAUAGGCUACAUAUGAGUUUGAGGCCAGCUUGGAAUAUGUGACAUCUUGCCUUUGAAAAAAAAAGUUAUUCCUUUAGAAGGCAAGGUUGCCCUCCCUUUCUGAUACAGCUCAGUCCUUUGUGUUUGCUUAUUUUUGCUUGCUUGUUUGUUUGUUUGCUUUGUUGUUUUCUCUUUUUGCAUCCCUGGCUAUUUGGUAACUCCCUUUGUAGACAGGGCUGGCCUUGAACUCACAGAGAUCUGCCUGCCUCUGCCACCUGGCUUUUUUUUUUUUUCAUUUUAAGACAGUCUUGCUAAAUUGCUAGAGCCAUUUGGAACUGGCCAUCCCUCUGCCUUGGUUUCCUGUAUGGUCCACCUGGCUCACAGCAUACUCUUUACACAGGUCCUUGUGAGGGAGGCACUUACUGAGGGCAGAGGAGCUGAGAGGCCCAGGCUCAAACUGCAUCCAGCCACUUGUCCUCCCCAACCUCCCAUCUCCUCAUGGGUAAUCUUCCUUUGGCUCUUGCAGUCAAGAGUGCCGGCCUGCCACUCAGGUGUACCCAGUCCAUGUGAGCCACUGGAGGGCUCCCAACAAUCUGGUGCCUGGACUGGGACCUGUAGAAGUUCAGGAAGACUCUGAAGGAACGCUGUUUCAUUUGGAGCUCCACGGGAAGAAAAAGAAAAGGAUCGUAUCGGAUGCCAAAGCAACAGAAGAUGGAGCGCGAUGGCUGCCUGGGAGAUUAGUUUGUCAACUGGACACAGAUCCUGAAUCUUCUAAUAUUGCUACCUGCUGAGAGGCCCCAGAGCUAUUCUGGAGACUACGCCCUAUCCUGCACGUCAUCACCUGCAGUUGGUUCCAGUCUCCAAGGAUGAAGUGGCAGGAAUGCUCCUCCCUGCCCCCUUAUAAGUGCCUUCGCCAUUGAAUAUUUGAGCCUUGAUCAGAACAUGGUCUUGGCUCCAUUUCUCUCUCAUCUGCCUAGUUUCCCUUUCUUUAAGUGCCAGCCUGCCACUCAGGUGUACCCAGUCCAUGUGAGCCUCUGGACGCCUUGCAAGAUUGCUGGGUGACAUUAGCCAAGGCACAUGCCAUGUUUGGCCCUGAGGGACUGUUUCUGUCCAAUAUCUAAAACACCUUCUAAGCAACAGCACCUUUCUUCUUGAGGUGAGGUGGGAGCAAAGACAAUGUCUGGCCAAUCUCAGAGUCUCCAGUGCUCACCCAGGACAGAUGCUCAGUGGGUGUUUCCUGAACAUCAUCAGAUGGUCUGGGGCUCAGUCUACAGGUUCUGUGGCUUUAAGCAGGAGGGCCAGUGGCCUUGCUGUGUUUGGAGCCAACUGAGUUGGGAAAGGCUGGCAUGGACUAUUCUGACUAAAUUCUCGGCUGUUCCAGACAUUCAAGGUCUUUCCCCAUGUCUACCAAUUAUCUGCUUCAUCCCCACACUCACGGGAGAGUGAACCAUGAACAGGGUGCUUGUGGCAACACAGGAAACUCACAGACCUUGGUUUAUUAGAUUAUUUUAAUAUGCCAGACCAAUAGAAAGGAAGGACGGAGCACACAGGAACACCUGUAUUUGCAGGAUGGAGGGCAGAUGUACACAGCCUUGAGUAUGCAUGUAUCUCCUGUGUAAUUAGGCAAAUGAAUACAUAAAUACCACACAACCGCCAGACUUGGGGGUGGGGAGAAUCACAGGCCACAGGGGACCAUGCUUUAAAGGCAGUCAAAGGCUUUAAAAAGAGGGGCUAAAGAACUUGAAGCUGGAUGGCCUGUUUCUCAAGCGCUAUGCGUGUUUGCUCAAGGAUGUCGGGGAACCAGUACCCUUCCCCGAGCCCCCUGAAAGCUUUGCAUUUUAUAUAAAACAACUAAAGGAAGCAAGGGAAAGCCCUUCAUGAGAUAAGCAGUGUGGCUGUGUGUGUGUGUCUGUGUAUGUCUGUGUGUCUGCUCGUGUGAGCAUGUAAAUGUGUGUGUGUGCGCGCAUGUGCCUGUGUCUAAAUGUUAUUUCUAAAGUGUACUUGAGAGGAAAAUAAACCAAUGAAAAUUUAAAAAAAAA